CGGCCGUAACUAUAACGGUCCU
rnacentral:rRNA from 1 species